CACGUAGGGCGCAAGCGUUGUCCGGAAUUAUUGGGCGUAAAGAGCUCGUAGGCGGUUUGUUGCGUCGGCUGUGAAAUCCCGAGGCUCAACCUUGGGUCUGCAGUCGAUACGAGCAAACUAGAGUGUUGCAGGGGAGACUGGAAUUCCUGGUGUAGCGGUGAAAUGCGCAGAUAUCAGGAGGAACACCGGUGGCGAAGGCGGGUCUCUGGGCAACAACUGACGCUGAGGAGCGAAAGCGUGGGGAGCGAACAGG
rnacentral:rRNA from 1 species